rnacentral:rRNA from 1 species
UACGUAGGGUGCAAGCGUUGUCCGGAAUUAUUGGGCGUAAAGAGCUCGUAGGUGGCCUGUCGCGUCGGCUGUGAAAACUCGGGGCUCAACUCCGAGCUUGCAGUCGAUACGGGCAGGCUAGAGUUCGGCAGGGGAGACUGGAAUUCCUGGUGUAGCGGUGAAAUGCGCAGAUAUCAGGAGGAACACCGAUGGCGAAGGCAGAUCUCUGGGCCGUAACUGACGCUGAGGAGCGAAAGCAUGGGGAGCGAACAGG